rnacentral:rRNA from 1 species
GAUGAACGCUGGCGGCGUGCCUAAUACAUGCAAGUCGAGCGAAUGGAUUAAGAGCUUGCUCUUAUGAAGUUAGCGGCGGACGGGUGAGUAACACGUGGGUAACCUGCCCAUAAGACUGGGAUAACUCCGGGAAACCGGGGCUAAUACCGGAUACCAUUUUGAACCGCAUGGUUCGAAAUUGAAAGGCGGCUUCGGCUGUCACUUAUGGAUGGCCCCGCGUCGCACUAGGUAGUUGGUGAGGUAACGGCUCACCAAGGCAACGAUGCGGAGCCGACCUGAGAGGGUGAUCGGCCACACUGGGACUGCGACACGGCCCAGACUCCUAGGGGAGGCAGCAGUAGGGAAUCUUCCGCAAUGGACGAAAGUCUGACGGAGCAACGCCGCGUGAGUGAUGAAGGCUUUCGGGUCGUAAAACUCUGUUGUUAGGGAAGAACAAGUGCUAGUUGAAUAAGCUGGCACCUUGACGGUACCUAACCAGAAAGCCACGGCUAACUACGUGCCAGCAGCCGCCGUAA